GCCGAGCUGUGUUCAGGCCUACGAGCCCAGAAUGGAGACAAAGCGACACAACAGAGCGCCUCGUCUCAGACUUCAGUAAAAGAAAGCAGCUUCUAGACUGAAUUACAGCUCAACGGCCUCUAAACUUCAGUGAAACGGCUUCACUCUCUUCGCCACAAGAGCGUUAUUAUUGUCAUUAUUAUUAUUUUAUUUUAUUUUAAACGGAACCACUCGUGCUGCUCGGCUACUGUAGGUCUGCUUUAGCUACGGACUUGGCGGCACUGCGUGCGGGAGGCCGGGCGUCUGUUCUGUGCUCAGUAAUGUGCUCGGCUUCCCUUCGGCUCACGGCUGUGAGGCAGCAGGUUGGAGUCUGUUAGUGAAGCUUCGCCAGGGACGCUGUUAAAUCUCCCUCAGAAACGCCAGCGCGGAGCCUCGAAACACGAGCGACCUCCUCGGCUUCGCUUCUGCUGUCCUUCCCGUGGGUCUUUCAGACUUCAGCAGCCUGAAGGGCGGAGAGUCGCGGACGGACUGCGGCUCGUAGAGAUCAAUAGGAGAGAGCAGGCGUUCCAGCGGCGCUGCUCCGAGAGCGUUUCAGAUGAUUGAAGUGUGUUUUUCUACCGUUUUGUGUUGGGUCGUGUGCUGCUCUACCACCACACUGCCAGAUGAAAGAGACUCCCGUGUGUUUCUCAUAUGAUUAAAUGUGGAGUUAAAAAGUCACCAGAAGUGAUGUCCUUGUGAAUUUCCCCACUGUGGUACUAAUAAAGGCUUAUCCUAUCUUA